AUUGAACGCUGGCGGCAGGCCUAACACAUGCAAGUCGAGCGGAAGAAGGGAGCUUGCUCCUGGAUUCAGCGGCGGACGGGUGAGUAAUGCCUAGGAAUCUGCCUGGUAGUGGGGGAUAACGUCCGGAAACGGGCGCUAAUACCGCAUACGUCCUGAGGGAGAAAGUGGGGGAUCUUCGGACCUCACGCUAUCAGAUGAGCCUAGGUCGGAUUAGCUAGUUGGUGGGGUAAAGGCCUACCAAGGCGACGAUCCGUAACUGGUCUGAGAGGAUGAUCAGUCACACUGGAACUGAGACACGGUCCAGACUCCUACGGGAGGCAGCAGUGGGGAAUAUUGGCAAUGGGCGAAAGCCUGAUCCAGCCAUGCCGCGUGUGUGAAGAAGGUCUUCGGAUUGUAAAGCACUUUAAGUUGGGAGGAAGGGCAGUAAGUUAAUACCUUGCUGUUUUGACGUUACCAACAGAAUAAGCACCGGCUAACUUCGUG
rnacentral:rRNA from 1 species